UACGUAGGGUGCAAGCGUUAUCCGGAAUUAUUGGGCGUAAAGAGCUCGUAGGCGGUUUGUCGCGUCUGCUGUGAAAACUGGAGGCUCAACCUCCAGCCUGCAGUGGGUACGGGCAGACUAGAGUGCGGUAGGGGAGAUUGGAAUUCCUGGUGUAGCGGUGGAAAUGCGCAGAUAUCAGGAGGAACACCGAUGGCGAAGGCAGAUCUCUGGGCCGUAACUGACGCUGAGGAGCGAAAGCGUGGGAGC
rnacentral:rRNA from 1 species